UACAGAGGGUGCAAGCGUUAAUCGGAAUUACUGGGCGUAAAGAGCACGUAGGUGGUUAAUUAAGUUGGAUGUGAAAUCCCCGGGCUUAACCUGGGAGUGUCAUUCAAAACUGGUUAACUUGAGUACGGUAGAGGGAAGUGGAAUUUCCGGUGUAGCGGUGAAAUGCAUAGAUAUCGGAAGGAACAUCAGUGGCGAAGGCGACUUCCUGGACUGAUACUGACACUGAGGUGCGAAAGCGUGGGGAGCAAACAGG
rnacentral:rRNA from 1 species